rnacentral:lncRNA from 1 species
AAUCCACGGCAGCAUCUCACUCUUUAGCUUUACUCCUGCUUCUCAAACUGCUUUCCUGGGCUUUAUUCCUCAGGAUUCUAGAUGAAAUGUGGUGGAGGCUGAAGUCCAAAUAGGCUUAGUUUUGUGGUGUAAGUAAGGCCAGCCAGAACUCCAGGUUCUCCUCGCUGAACUCCGUCUUCAAGAAGGCACGGAAGGCUGCCACCCCAUCUGUGGAUGCAGAAAGAAAUGGGAGAAAAGACAGACAGCAAGAAGCUUAAGAUCAAAGAUUGCAGAUGAAGGAGACACAAUUUGUCAGCAUCCUGACUAGUCAAGCCUGUUGCUCCUCCACACCUAAUGACACACAGCUACUCUAGGAGCAAGCCAUGUUUCUUGUCCAUGGGCCAGCAUGCAGUAUCAGGGAGAAAUGUUUAAAUCCCAUAGUGACAAUAAUGGUCAGUUCUGAUUAAACCCUCAGAGUUUACUGCCUUUCCACUAAUGCCGAGUUGGCUAAACCCCCGAGUCUGCGGGUAAGCCAAGGUAAUAGGCACUAUACUUCUAUACCCUAAGCUGAGUCCACACCAAAGAGAAGACUCAGGCAGUUGUAAGACAAACUGGAUGGGAAUGUCUCAGGGCCAAGCCUUUCCCACUAUCAGAGAAAUAUCCAACAGAAAUUCAGUCUGUACUACACCCUGCUGCAUGGAUAGUAUUCUCUGUCUCUUUUAGAAAACCUUUGAA